UUUCCACAGAAAAUAUACUAAAAUAUACUAAAAUUAGAAUGACAGCAGAAGACUAGCAUGGUCCCUGUGUAAGGCUGAUACACACAUUCAAGAAGUACUCCAGGGGCUU